rnacentral:rRNA from 1 species
UACGAAGGGGGCUAACGUUGUUCGGAAUCACUGGGCGUAAAGGGCGCGUAGGCGGCUUUAUAAGUCGGGGGUGAAAGCCUGUGGCUCAACCACAGAAUUGCCUUCGAUACUGUAGAGCUUGAGACCGGAAGAGGUAAGUGGAACUGCGAGUGUAGAGGUGAAAUUCGUAGAUAUUCGCAAGAACACCAGUGGCGAAGGCGGCUUACUGGUCCGGUUCUGACGCUGAGGCGCGAAAGCGUGGGGAGCAAACAGG